GGAAUAUUGCACAAUGGGGGAAACCCUGAUGCAGCGACGCCGCGUGAGUGAAGAAGCAUUUCGGUGCGUAAAGCUCUGUCAGCAGGAAAGAAAGUGACGGUACCUGACCAAGAAGCCCCGGCUAACUACGUGCCAGCAGCCGCGGUAAUACGUAGGGGGCAAGCGUUAUCCGGAUUUACUGGGUGUAAAGGGAGCGUAGACGGCGAAGCAAGUCUGAAGUGAAAGGCCGGGGCCCAACCCCGUAACUGCUUUGGAAACUGUUUUGCUCGAGUGCGGGAGGGGUAAGCGGAAUUCCUAGUGUAGCGGUGAAAUGCGUAGAUAUUAGGAGGAACACCGGUGGCGAAGGCGGCUUACUGGACCGUAACUGACGUUGAGGCUCGAAGGCGUGGGGAGCAAACA
rnacentral:rRNA from 1 species